rnacentral:lncRNA from 1 species
GAAAUAAUACGACAAACACACAAAUUUUAGCAGCUGAAAUUUGAUAAUAUUACGCAUCGAUUUAAUGUCGUCUGGUAUAUAAUUAUGUUAAUUAUCUACCAGUCACAAUUACUCCUAAAUCACAUUUACCGUACCUAACUUUACACGAAAAAUAUUUAUCUAUUUUAUUUUAUUUUAUCAUGAGUUUACGAACUACUCUAUUAUCAAUAUUGCUAUAAUAUUAAAAAAUAAAAAUAUUAUUUUCAAUUUUACUUUUAAACAUAGUUAUUUAAUAUAGAUAGAUAAUCGUGCAAACAAUCUGUUCAUUGUCAAGUUUUGAAAUAGUGAAAUGAUUUCCAGAUUUCCUUCAUCUCUCACUAGUGUUAUGUGCCCACACGCUUUUACCGCAUGUGUCCAAAAUAAUGUAAGUAUGUGUUAGACCAGAAAAUAAGCUUUUGACUAUUGUUGAAGUGUUUAAUAUUUUUUCAAAUUUUCCGGGACAUAGGUAUGUAGUAUGUACUUUACCUAAAGAUGCACGGUGUCAGGUAUAAUCGGACAUGUAAUUGCACCUAGAAUGAAGAACUACUGUUGAAGUAUUAUAUUUUUAACAUUUAAAUAUUAAUUAAUUACUAAUAGUUAUAUGGUGUAUUAAUUGAAAACAAUAAUUUUAAUUUUAUAGACCGAUUGCGACUUUGGAACGUGGUUAUUGUUUUCCUAGUCUGGCAUAGUUAUGCUGUCUGUGUUGAUUCUAAUCAGUGUCACUCCUAUUACGUGUUUCAUUUAUGGAUGUUUAUAAAAAAAAAAGUUAAUUGUUUUAAACCUUGUCAUAGGCAAAAUAUAAUUUUUUCCUAAGGAUUCCAGAAUGAUGAGCUACAGGUAAUAAUAAUAAAUAAAUAAUAUAUAUAUUGUAUAUCAAGAGUCAUAAGUAGGACUUGGAACUUAUUGCACUUAAGAUCUACAAAAAAUCACUUAAAAAUGUCUAGAAAACUCUGAACAAUGCACUUGAAAAAUAUUUAAAAAAUCAAAAACAAUAGAAUAGUUUUCCCUUCUAAUAGCUUUAAUUUAGUAAUUAAAAUGUUGUGUUAGAAAAUUAUAUUUAAUAACUUAAAGUUAUUAGAUAGGGAAUCUUUAAACCCUUCUACCUACCAUUUGUUCUUGACAAUAUUUGCUUGAAGUACAGUCGAAAUCGUCGAUAUUUCAAACUUUUUCCUUCAGUCCAACAAAUCUUGAUUGACUCGAAUAUUUUCGUGAAUAACUCGAAAUUUUGAUUUUUAUAAUUAUGAAAUUAUGAUACUUAUUUUCCUUAUGUAUGUACAUUUACUAUCAAAAAUAAAGUCAUUAGUGUUAUCUUUAACGAUAAGUGGUUUAUUCAACUGAUUUACUACACAGCACACAACAAUGAUUCAUUAACAAUCUACUAACAUACAUAUACACUUCAAUGUUUAGUGCUCCAUUACAUUUCAACGUGAUCAUAUGUAAAUUUUUUUAUUUGGAUAACUCAAACUUUUUUUCUGGUCCCUUCAACUUUGAAUUAACCAAGUUUGACUGUACUUUUUUUUCAAGGCUUGUGACAUUUUAAAUGCAAUAAGUCACGAGCCCUGGUCAUGACCAAAAGCCAAUUUUUUUGUUAUUAAUUUAUUUUAAAAUUAUUGUAGGUACUUUAAUUACAAAAUUACUUUAUAUUGAACAUUAAAUAAAUAUGUAGAACUUUUGAGAGUUGACAGAGUGCUACUGAGCAGAGGUAUUCAUCAAUGGCAAACUUGAGGGCCUGAGGUCUAAACAACAAUCUGUUUAUUGCCAAGUUUUGCAGUUAGUGAAAUGCGAUAACCAUGUAUCAAAAAUAUUAGUUAUAAUAAGUAUGUAUUAGACUGAAAAAUAAUCCAUUGUUGGUAUGUCUAAUAUAUUGCCAUCUUUUCUGGGAUAUGGGUAUGUACUUCAAAAUAUUACAUAUCCAUGGCUAGGAUUUGUAUGCAAUAAAACAUUGUAACAUAUGCAUUUUGUUUACCAAAAUAUGCAAAAAUAUGCAUUUAAAUUUGUAUAAGAUAAAUACAAAAAUAUAGCUACAAAAUGUAUUUAUUUAUUGAAAUACAUUAGUGAUUGGCUGUUUGUCUUAAUAUAAUAUUAUUGAGAAAUAAAAUAAAAUAAAUUAAUUUAGAAAUAAAAUUUAUAAUUCACAUUCAAUAGUGGAAAUACGUGUGUUACAUGUUACGACAACAUAUUUUUUUAAAUUUUCGAAUAUAAAUGAUCGGCGAUUGGAUCGUAGUAUUGAUUUAUAUUGACUGAAGCUCCGUUCAAUGAUGUAGUUAGCGUAUAUUGAAAUAAAGAAAUUUGUCCUGGUGUUAAAUUACAACUGAAAUUGUCCUCGUCCGAUUNUUCCGUUGCACUCAAAAAUUCGAUUCCUAGCAUUUUUAAUAAUCUAUAGACUUUCAUAAAGUCUUUCUCCGUCAAACUAUUCAAUCUUUUAUCGCAUACCUAUUGUACCGUAGAAUCGUAUUUAUAAAAAUAAAAUUUAUGUUUCACAAAAAAUCAAGUUUUUUACUUUAAUUAGCAGGGCUAGAAUUAAAUACGAAAUAUUAAUAUUAAAUUAUAAAUAUUAAUUACGAAAUAUACUGUGAAACAUGCAUUUUUCGCAUUCUUAUAAUCAAAAUAUGCAAUAAUAUUCGUUUUAUUCAAUAUAUGCAAUAAUAUGCAUUUUAUCCAAAAUAUGCAAAAACAUGCAAAAUAAAAACACCGCCACUUAUCUCAUCAUGAGGUGAUUCGUGGAAAUUACUGACAAAAUCAAUAAUCAGAUGUCACAAAAAAAACAUGUUGUUGCAUAUAAAUCCUAGCUCUGUACAUAUCUAUAUUUUGUCCCACGCCAUCGUAUUCCCUCCAUGCAUUCAAAUUUCGCAGCCAAAGGCGGUAGAUGGUUGGUAUGUGUAGAGCGGUAUCUUGACAAAAAAACAAAAACAAAAUGAAGAAAUAAAAAUAUGAGCGAAAAAUCCAUCAUUUUAAGUUUUGUACAAACAUUUCAUGAUUUUUUUUCAAUUUUCGUCUACUAAAUAUUUUACACAUGCCGAAGGUAUAAUAUAUUAUGUAGGGAAACAGUAUUUUUCUACGUGAAAUAUUUUAGGAUCCAAUUCAAGAUUACAAAUGUGAUUUCGGACAGUAUUAUACAUAUAACAAAAAUGUUUAAAAUGCUUCUAAAGACAACAGAAUUUGGAGGAAAUUAAAUAUGAGUAAUCUCGCUCUGGAAUGAAUAAUAUGAGGGAAAAAAUAAGUACAGGGUUUCGAUUGAAUAGAUUCAAAAAAUAGUAAAUUUGUACUACAAAAAUAAUAAUUUGUAUUGUAUAUUUUUAUUUUUUUAAAUUUUCUCUAUUUAUUUUUUCAAUUAAAUGAAUUUUGCUCUUUUUUAUUCCAUAUUAUGUUUGAUUUUCGCUAUUUUAAAGGAACUGUGGAGAGACCACUUAUUUUCGUAAUCUCGCAGCAUGCUCUCUCCUGGACAGAGUUUAAUAAAUUUUACUCAGAGGUAAAGGACCUGGAAUUGCAUUUAGAGUGAAGGAUUGUGUUGUGUGCAAUAAUGUGUUUCCCAAAUUUUUUGAUUCUAAGUCCCCUUGUAGAUUUUCAAACAUUUUGUACUUCCUUAAUUUAUUCAAAAUAUGAGAUAAAUUGUUUUAAAAUUUAAAUAUGAUAAUUUUAUAUUUUUAUCACCACACAGUACCUAAAUUCCUCUCUAUCCCUCCACUGUUGGGAAAUAUUGCUGUAAUAUAAUUUGUGUUUCAAAAGUCUGAUUACAAAUUGUUAAUCGCAGGUUAAAGGCCUAUAUAAUAAUGGAAAGAUAAGAUAAUUAAGUUUAUUUUAAGUAAAGCUACUGAUAAAUUCUGUAAUUAUUAAUGAACUGCUAUUAUUUUAUUUCAGAAUAGUGACUCCAUCACAGAAAGUGUGUUGCGUCCUUUGUUUCAGUCAGUUCAAGUCAACAACAUUAUUCAACGUUAUUUUCGAAAAUCCCAUGGAAGUGAAGCCUAAACUACUCCAAAGUAUUGAAUGGUAUCAAAUGCUCUAAGAAAUAUUGGUUGUAUGUGUGCUCAGAAACAAUUAAAUUAACCUCGUACCUUAUAUGGAAGAAAUUUGAAUAGAUACCUAUAGAUGUAUGUCGGAUGGCCUGUGUAGGUUAUAUUAAACAUUUUUAAUUUAAUUAAUUAAAACUUGAUUAUUUUAAAUAUAUUUUUUACUGAAUUUCUUAUACAAUGGAAUCUCGAUACGUCAAAAAAAAUACUGGUCUCUCGUGAAAACCUCGAUUGCUUGAAAGAAAAACUAUAGAUAACUCAAACAUUCUGUGUUCCAAAUAUAAACAGGUAAUGAGAAAUUUGUGAAUUUUUUUUUUUGUGAACACUAGCAGAAAACUUACUCCCAUUAUCGAGUAUAAUAUUUUUUCUGAAAAUAAAUGUUCUCUGGGUGGUACUUUAGAGAAGUAGUUUUUUGAAAUUCUCAUUAAUAUUUGAGAUAAUGAGAAAACCCUGGUUCUUUAUGUUAAAAAAGAUUGAAAGAUUAAAAAUAAGGUUGUCAUUGGCAAUUAUUUUUAUUUAUUUUUUGUUAUUACAGUAAAACUUCUGUUAAUGGUCACCUAUAUGUAACAUCAUUUUUUUUGGUCUCAUUAAGUGUUAUGCCUCUAUAGGUCACCUCUACUAAAUAUUAUUUCUAGUCCAAAAAUCUAUCAACUGAACUCGUUUUUCUUCGUUAGCAAUAGUUUCUCUUACUUACAGAUAUACAUUAAAUUCCAGUCUAUAACCUACCUUCAAACAGGGCUGUAUUUAGGAAUUUGUUGCCCUGGAGCAACAAAAAAAAAACUGCAGUAAUACAAUAUAAAAACAAUUUUAUUUUUAAUUUAUAAUUAAAUUUUUUUUCCUGAAAUGUGACUUCACAAAAAUUUUUUAUUACUUUAUCAUAAUUGAUGCUGAAAGUUGGUUCAUUUUCAAUGUUUAAUAUAGCCAAAGCAUUUAGAUGAUCAUUAUUUAUAACCGAUCUAGAUUAUCUUAUCCUUCUUAGAAUUGAAAAUGAUAAUUUCAAAAAAUAAUUUGUUGCUAAGGUACACAAAAAUAUUUUGAGUCAACAUAGAUUAAAUCGUUUAGAUUGUAUCAUUAUACUUAGAUUCCAAAUAUUUUUUGGGGCUAUAUCUUUGAGAGAUUUAAUAUGACUUUGGAAAUAUACACAUUCAUUACAAACAUUUUUUAUCUAAAUAUGUAUAUUUCACAUAAUUUUUCAGCAUAUUAAUAAACUUCUAAAUAUAAUGUAUUUAGGUUUUAAAAAAAAAAAAAAAAAAGGAAUAUUUUGAUGUUAAAUUAUCAUAUGUUUCUUUUCGUUCUCCAUUGUACAUCUAAUUUACAUACUGUGCUCACUCUUCGUAAUUUAGAAGCUUGAUCUUCGUGAAAUUUAAAAAUUCUUUCAUUCUAUAUAUCAGAAAUGUAAUGAAUGAGUGAUUCAUACAAUUCAACAAUAAUAUCAAUAAACUGUAACUGUUUACUAACAACAUUAAAACUUAGAAGAUCAUCACAAAAAUAUUGACAUGAAAACAUUUUCGAAAAAAAGCCAGAUUUUUUUAAAAUAUUUUUUGCUUCACAUCACAUUUGUGGCUUUUGUUUAUUAUUACCUUUAAUUUCUGUAAGAACAUUAAUUACUAUAGCCCAGUUAUUAGUAUAUUAGUAAGCAUACCAUAGAAUGACUCCUAUUAUUAUUGACUGUUAGCAUGACUGGGUCUGGGUAAAUUCAAUUCUUAAAUAAUUAAAAACUAUAAUAUGUACAAUGUACAUACGUUUUAAAAACUCUAAGUCAAAUUUUUUUCCUAAAACCUCGAUAAGUCGAAAAAAAUUGCAUUUUCCUUGAAUUUCAACUUAUCAAGGUUCCACUAUAUCUUUAUUUUUAAAAUAAAUUUACAUUUUUGAAAUCAGAUGAAGACUUUUGAAACACGGUGUAUAUAUUUGAUCAUCAAUGUUUGUUAAAAUUAUUUAUAAGGUUAAGAAUUUAUGCUUUGGUUACAUUUUUAAUUAUAGAUCUUAGUAAAAAAAACUUAGAAAUAGAAAACUUGUGAAUUUAAAACAUUUGUAAUACAAAUACAAAUUUUUCAAAGACAGUGGAUUUUUUGUUUUAUUUUUUUCUGCGAUCAUCAGUAUUCUUUUGUAUUAUUGUCCAUAAAAAUCAGUAUUUGUUUGUUAAUAUCUGUAUUACUGUCAUAUUUCUACUUAUUUUAUUGCCAUUCAUAAAUAAAUACAAUUUUGUAACUGAUAAUUUUAGUCAAAAUAUUUUGAACUCUUUAAAUUUAUAUAAUUAUUUUAAUUUUAGAUAAUAAUAAUAUAGGUCUUUUAUAAACAAUCAGUUAAUUGUUCGACAAUUUUAAAUAAAAAAAAAGUUAUCCUAGGAUGUUCUAGUACACUUUUAAUGCACUUAUCUUUUCCCUUUUACCUAAACAGGGAAAAAACAAAUGCAAACAAUUUUUUUGAUACCUGGGUUUGAUCUCAUGAGCUCUAGGAUGACAAUAGGUAUCUAUAACCAUUAGGCUAACAUACUUUUAAAGAGACAAUAUAGAUUUAUUUAAUAUAACAAAUAAUAUUCGCAUAAUAUCGGAACUUCAAAAGCUAUAAUUUCAAAACUUAGUUUGCUCAAUUCUGACUUAACCAUUUUUCUUAAAUCGGCAAUAUACUUGUGUUCAAAACAAAAAAUUGAGUAAUUAGAUUUGUUCCACAUAAUUUUUUACUCAAAAUCUAAUGAAAUUUGAUAUUAAAAUUCCUUUAUAAAAAAAUACUACAUUAAACUUAAUUUUUUUUUUUUUACCAUAAAUUAAGACUUAAUAAAUCUCCUGUUGAAUUUACAUUUCUGUUAAGUCUAAUAAUUUUACCACAGAGUACCUAUUUAACAAAAUUUUAAAAAUAAUAAAAGCAUUAUUUUUAUAAAUUUCCUAUUUUUCUUAUGUUUUUCUCAUUUUUUACCUUUUAUUGGGAAAACUGCUGGAAAUCAAAAUAUGACCUCCCUAAAGUACCACCUCAAGAAAAUUUCCUUUAAGAAAAGAGACUACAUCAUAUACAUCCAACCAAGAUUUUUGGUAGAAUUUUUGUACACAAUAUAAAAUAAGAAAAAAGAAUAUCAUUGUAAAACCGAUACAUUCUUCGCUACAUUCAGAAUCUAAAACACAUUUUGUUGAGUAUUAAUAUUUAAAAUGAUUGUUGUUUUUUAAUUUUAAAUAUCAUGAUUUAAGAAAAUAUAUUUACCAAAAUACUGUUUUAAUAUUAAAUUUUUAACAUUUAAAUAUUAAUUAAAUACUAAAAGUUAUAUUUUGUUUUAAUUGUAUAGACUAGUGGAAGGCUUUGGAUGAUGGUUUGAUUUUCCUCAUUUGGCAUAUGCUGUCAGUGUUAAUUCUAAUUAGUGUCACUCCCAUUAUGUGUUAAAGUAUGGAUGUUUAUUAAAGAAAAAGGUUUUAAUUGUAUACAAGGCAGAUUAAUAAAACACCUUCUUUUAGACUUGGUCAAAGAUAAUAUUGAGAGCGUCCAGAAUGAUGAGCUACAGGUAAUAAUAUAUUUUUUAUAUCAAGAGCCUUUUUUAUUUAAUUUUAUUUUACUAAUUUAUUUUCAAAUUAUUUUAGGUACUUUGAAAAUAAUAUCAUUUUAUAUUAAGCAUUGGAAAAAAUAUGUGGAAUUUUUGAGAGUUGGCAGAGUCCUAUGUGGCAGACAUAGGACUCUAUUCAUUAAUCACAAACUUAGAGGCCUGGGAUCUAAACAACAAUCUGUUCAUUAUCAAGUUUUUUUAAUUAGUGAAAUGAUUUCCUUCAUUGUGCCCACACACUUCUUGCCAGAACCACAUGUGUCUAAAGUAAAAUAUUAAAUAUGUAUUGUACCAGAAAAUAAGCCGUUGUUGGUUUGUCUAAUAUAUUAUCAUCUUUUCACCUCUUCUCAGAUAUAAUCUGACCUGUAAUUGUACUUAUAGGGAAAAAUUGUAUUGUGUGUGAAAAUUUGAGUUUUUAAUUAUAUUCUUUAAUACAAUGUUUCCCUACUCUUUUUAUUCCAUAUCCUUUUUGUAGAUUUUCAAAAAUUGCAUGCCUCCUUUAUUAAUUAAAAAUUAGAUUUUUGAUUAAGCUUGGUUUACAGGAUCAAAUAUUUGAUAAACUGCAAACAUUGUUCAGACGAUCAAAUAUUUUAUAAAAUUUUCCAUAACUAAAACUCUGUAGUGAUUGGUCAAAUAUAUAACCCACGCAAAUUUAUUUUGUACAAUAAUUAUCAUAGGUAGUAGCAUUGAUUGUUGAUUUUUUAAUCAAUGUUAAUAGGUACUAAUUACUAUGCAGAUAAAAUUUCAUCAACAUUGUGGUACUAAGUUAUUGGAAUAUUCUUAGAUUAGAGCUACAACAUGAAUUAUGUGAAAAAUUAAUAAAACUAUAAAUUAUGGAAACUAUAGAAAUUGUUCAAAAAUAAAUGUUCAAGAUUAUAAAAUAAGUAGGUAAUUAUAUAAAGUAUUAGUUAAAGUACCUUAGUACCCACUUUUACUUUUUAUGUAGUAGGUAUGCAUUAGUAUUUCAUAAGGUUUAGAUUCGGAGCAUAGGGGGGGAUCUAUUGGUUUUACUAUGAUGUGUUGUGUGUGUAUUACAAUUAAAGAUAAUUUUGAAUACGUGUUCAUCAUCCACAUAAUAUAAUAAUUUAUUCUCCCAAAAACCCAAAAUUCUAAAUUUAUUAAUGUAAAUAAUUCGUGACCAAAUAAAUUCAAAUUAGUUUUCAAUGACACCAAUGAGAGUAAAAGUAUGUUUUGCUAGAUUGAACACUGAACAGAUUGGUAGGUACCACUAAAAUCUGGUGGUCACAAAUUAUUUACAAUGAUGAAUUUGGAUUUUUGGGUUUUCUGGAAAAUAAAUUAUUAUAUGAUAUGAUAUUAUGUGGACAUGUAGGAACAAUUUCACUUUAUCGGACACUUAAUUUUAAAAUUUUUUUUUUUUUGAAAACGUGAGUUUUUUGAUGUUGAUUUCAGAACUGUUUAAAUAUUUUUGCGGAAAUCAUUAUUAAAGAACUUAUGGAGGUUUGGGGUUCGUCGUUAAUACAGUUUUAGAUUACAUACCUAUUUUUUUUACACUCG